rnacentral:rRNA from 1 species
UCCUACGGGAGGCAGCAGGGGGGAAUCUUUCGCAAUGGACGCAAGUCUGACGAAGCAACGCCGCGUGAGUGAGGAAGGCCCUUUGGGUUGUAAAGCUCUGUUGCCGGGGAAGAAAGUUAGUGUAAGGAAAUGUGCAUUAAUUGACGGUACCCGGUGAGGAAGCACUGGCUAACUACGUGCCAGCAGCCGCGGUAAUACGUAGAGUGCAAGCGUUGUCCGGAAUCAUUGGGCGUAAAGGGUACGCAGGCGGAUAUACAAGUCAAAUGUGAAAGGUGUAGGCUUAACCUACAGACUGCGUUUGAAACUGUAUAUCUUGAGAGCAGCAGAGGAAGGCGGAAUUCCUGGUGUGGUGGUGAAAUACGUAGAUAUCAGGAAGAACACCAGUGGCGAAGGCGGUCUUCUGGGCUGCAUCUGACGCUCAUGUACGAAAGCUGGGGUAGCGAACGGGAUUAGAUACCCCGGUAGUCCCAGCUGUAAACGAUGGACACUAGGUGUUGGAGGUUCGAAUCCUUCAGUGCCGGAGUUAACGCAUUAAGUGUCCCGCCUGGGGAAUACGGUCGCAAGACUGAAACGUAAAGGAAUUGACGG